rnacentral:rRNA from 1 species
AUGACGCCCAAAAUUGCAAAUCUUGGUUUGUCAAGACCUGUUGCUUCAACAGAUAAUCACGACGGAACACUUGGGUUCAUGCCACCGGAGUUCGUUGAUGGUGGCGAUAUAUCAAACAAGUUUGACGUGUUCAGUUUGGGCGUCAUAAUGAUAAAAAUACUCGCUGGAAAUAACGGCUAUUACAGAUGUUCUAAGAUGUCCCCCGAACAGUUUUUUGAGCUUGUAACUGAAAACUGGACGAAAAGGUUGCAGACAAUGAUGAGCUAUGCAUCACUCAAAGAGGACAUCCUACGAGUGAGGACGUGUGUUGAGAUUGCAUUAAGGUGUGUCGCCAUGGACCAAAAUAAAAGGCCUACCGUGAAGGAAAUUGUUCAUGAACUGGAGGGAGUCGAAGCCAAUAUCACAAUAAUGUCACACCUAACUGUGCAAACAGGAUCCGAGCGACACCAAGUGUCGUUACAACAUUUGAAAGAUAUCAGAGAAAAUUUCUCAAGGGAAUGA